CCUACGGGUGGCAGCAGUGGGGAAUAUUGGACAAUGGGCGAAAGCCUGAUCCAGCCAUGCCGCGUGUGUGAAGAAGGCCUUCGGGUUUUAAAGCACUUUCAGUGGGGAAGAAAGCCUUGGGGCUAAUACCCUCGAGGAAGGACAUCACCCACAGAAGAAGCACCGGCUAACUCCGUGCCAGCAGCCGCGGUAAUACGGAGGGUGCGAGCGUUAAUCGGAAUUACUGGGCGUAAAGCGCGCGUAGGCGGUCUGAUAAGCCGGUUGGGAAAGCCCCGGGCUCAACCUGGGAACGGCAUCCGGAACUGUCAGGCUAGAGUGCAGGAGAGGAAGGUAGAAUUCCCGGUGUAGCGGUGAAAUGCGUAGAGAUCGGGAGGAAUACCAGUGGCGAAGGCGGCCUUCUGGACUGACACUGACGCUGAGGUGCGAAAGCGUGGGUAGCAAACAGGAUUAGAUACCCGGGUAGUC
rnacentral:rRNA from 1 species